GGGCUCGUAGCUCAGAGGCAGAGCGCCGCAUUCGCAAUGCGGAGGCCCCGGGUUCAAAUCCCGGCGAGUCCA
rfam:Geoglobus ahangari strain 234, complete genome.